rnacentral:rRNA from 1 species
GGUUAAGCGACUAAGCGUACACGGUGGAUGCCCUGGCAGUCAGAGGCGAUGAAGGACGUGUUAAUCUGCGAAAAGCGCCGGCGAGGUGAUAUGAACCUUUGACCCGGCGAUGUCCGAAUGGGGAAACCCAGUGUGUUCCGACACACUAUCGUUAACUGAAUACAUAGGUUAACGAGGCGAACCGGGGGAACUGAAACAUCUAAGUACCCCGAGGAAAAGAAAUCAACCGAGAUUCCCCCAGUAGCGGCGAGCGAACGGGGAGCAGCCCAGAGUCUGAAUCAGCUUGUGUGUUAGUGGAAGCGUCUGGAAAGUCGCACGGUACAGGGUGACAGUCCCGUACACGAAAGCACACAGGCUGUGAACUCGAAGAGUAGGGCGGGACACGUGGUAUCCUGUCUGAAUAUGGGGGGACCAUCCUCCAAGGCUAAAUACUCCUGACUGACCGAUAGUGAACCAGUACCGUGAGGGAAAGGCGAAAAGAACCCCGGCGAGGGGAGUGAAAAAGAACCUGAAACCGUGUACGUACAAGCAGUGGGAGCCUCUUUUAUGGGGUGACUGCGUACCUUUUGUAUAAUGGGUCAGCGACUUAUAUUCUGUAGCAAGGUUAACCGUAUAGGGGAGCCGAAGGGAAACCGAGUCUUAACUGGGCGUUAAGUUGCAGGGUAUAGACCCGAAACCCGGUGAUCUAGCCAUGGGCAGGUUGAAGGUUGGGUAACACUAACUGGAGGACCGAACCGACUAAUGUUGAAAAAUUAGCGGAUGACUUGUGGCUGGGGGUGAAAGGCCAAUCAAACCGGGAGAUAGCUGGUUCUCCCCGAAAGCUAUUUAGGUAGCGCCUCGUGAAUUCAUCUUCGGGGGUAGAGCACUGUUUCGGCUAGGGGGCCAUCCCGGCUUACCAACCCGAUGCAAACUACGAAUACCGAAGAAUGUUAUCACGGGAGACACACGGCGGGUGCUAACGUCCGUCGUGAAGAGGGAAACAACCCAGACCGCCAGCUAAGGUCCCAAAGUCAUGGUUAAGUGGGAAACGAUGUGGGAAGGCACAGACAGCCAGGAUGUUGGCUUAGAAGCAGCCAUCAUUUAAAGAAAGCGUAAUAGCUCACUGGUCGAGUCGGCCUGCGCGGAAGAUGUAACGGGGCUAAACCAUGCACCGAAGCUGCGGCAGCGACACUAUGUGUUGUUGGGUAGGGGAGCGUUCUGUAAGCCGUUGAAGGUGUCCUGUGAGGGGUGCUGGAGGUAUCAGAAGUGCGAAUGCUGACAUAAGUAACGAUAAAGCGGGUGAAAAGCCCGCUCGCCGGAAGACCAAGGGUUCCUGUCCAACGUUAAUCGGGGCAGGGUGAGUCGACCCCUAAGGCGAGGCCGAAAGGCGUAGUCGAUGGGAAACAGGUUAAUAUUCCUGUACUUGGUGUUACUGCGAAGGGGGACGGAGAAGGCUAUGUUAGCCGGGCGACGGUUGUCCCGGUUUAAGCAUGUAGGCGGAGGUUCCAGGUAAAUCCGGUUCCUUAUUAACGCUGAGGUGUGAUGACGAGGCACUACGGUGCUGAAGUAACAAAUGCCCUGCUUCCAGGAAAAGCCUCUAAGCAUCAGGUAACAUCAAAUCGUACCCCAAACCGACACAGGUGGUCAGGUAGAGAAUACCAAGGCGCUUGAGAGAACUCGGGUGAAGGAACUAGGCAAAAUGGUGCCGUAACUUCGGGAGAAGGCACGCUGAUAUGUAGGUGAAGCCCCUGCGGGUGGAGCUGAAAUCAGUCGAAGAUACCAGCUGGCUGCAACUGUUUAUUAAAAACACAGCACUGUGCAAACACGAAAGUGGACGUAUACGGUGUGACGCCUGCCCGGUGCCGGAAGGUUAAUUGAUGGGGUUAGCGGUAACGCGAAGCUCUUGAUCGAAGCCCCGGUAAACGGCGGCCGUAACUAUAACGGUCCUAAGGUAGCGAAAUUCCUUGUCGGGUAAGUUCCGACCUGCACGAAUGGCGUAAUGAUGGCCAGGCUGUCUCCACCCGAGACUCAGUGAAAUUGAACUCGCUGUGAAGAUGCAGUGUACCCGCGGCAAGACGGAAAGACCCCGUGAACCUUUACUAUAGCUUGACACUGAACACUGGUCCUUGAUGUGUAGGAUAGGUGGGAGGCUUUGAAGCGUGGACGCCAGUCUGCGUGGAGCCAACCUUGAAAUACCACCCUUUAAUGGCUGGUGUUCUAACGUAGACCCGUAAUCCGGGUUGCGGACAGUGUCUGGUGGGUAGUUUGACUGGGGCGGUCUCCUCCCAAAGAGUAACGGAGGAGCACGAAGGUUAGCUAAUCCUGGUCGGACAUCAGGAGGUUAGUGCAAUGGCAUAAGCUAGCUUGACUGCGAGAGUGACGGCUCGAGCAGGUGCGAAAGCAGGUCAUAGUGAUCCGGUGGUUCUGAAUGGAAGGGCCAUCGCUCAACGGAUAAAAGGUACUCCGGGGAUAACAGGCUGAUACCGCCCAAGAGUUCAUAUCGACGGCGGUGUUUGGCACCUCGAUGUCGGCUCAUCACAUCCUGGGGCUGAAGUAGGUCCCAAGGGUAUGGCUGUUCGCCAUUUAAAGUGGUACGCGAGCUGGGUUUAGAACGUCGUGAGACAGUUCGGUCCCUAUCUGCCGUGGGCGCUGGAGAAUUGAGGGGGCUGCUCCUAGUACGAGAGGACCGGAGUGGACGCAUCACUGGUGUUCGGGUUGUCAUGCCAAUGGCACUGCCCGGUAGCUAAAUGCGGAAGAGAUAAGUGCUGAAAGCAUCUAAGCACGAAACUUGCCCCGAGAUGAGUUCUCCCUGAGACUUUAAGUCUCCUGAAGGAACGUUGAAGACUACGACGUUGAUAGGUCGGGUGUGUAAGCGCAGCGAUGCGUUGAGCUAACCGAUACUAAUGAACCGUGAGGCUUAACCUU